rnacentral:rRNA from 1 species
AUAGGUUGGGUGUGUAAGCGCUGUGAGGCGUUGAGCUAACCAAUACUAAUUGCCCGUGAUGCUUGACCAUAUAACACCCAAGCAAUU